AUGAUGAUGAUGAUGAUGAUGAUGAUGAUGAUGAUGAUGAUGAUGAUGAUGAUGAUGAUGAUGAUGAUGAUGAUGAUGAUGAUGAUGAUGAUGAUGAUACGCCCGCCAGGAUACUCCAAAAUAUGUUGGAGCAAAUUAUAAAGCCCCCCCCCCAGUAGCUGUCGGGGGGUCACUGCUAGCUGCGACCUUACAGAUGUUCCUUAGGGCACACCAAGCCAUGUACUCCUGUAUGUAUAUCUUCUGUUGUGGAGAGCCAACCAACAUGCAAUCUUCACAGCAGGUACCAACAACCGCCAUUCGGAGAUAGAACUCCUAGUUAUUAUUCCUGCCUGCCUACCUACCCCCUACCUACCUACCCCCCUACCUACCUACCUACCUACCUACCUACCUACCUACCCCCCUACCUACCUGCCUACCUACCUUACCUAUCUACCUACCUACCUACCUACCUACCUACCUACCUACCUACCUACCUACCUACCUACCUUCCUGCCUACCUACCUACCUACCUACCUACCUACCCACCUUCCUGCCUACCUACCUACCUACCUACCCACCUUCCUGCCUACCUACCUACCUACCUACCUUCCUGCCUACCUACCUACCUGCCUAC
rnacentral:lncRNA from 1 species